CCUACGGGUGGCUGCAGUGAGGAAUAUUGGUCAAUGGGCGCUAGCCUGAACCAGCCAAGUAGCGUGAAGGAUGACUGCCCUAUGGGUUGUACACUUCUUUUAUAUGGGAAUAAAGUGCAGUAUGUAUACUGCUUUGCAUGUACCUUAUGAAUAAGGAACGGCGAACUACGUGCCAGCAGCCGCGGUAAUACGGAGGAUCCGAGCGUUAUCCGGAUUUGUUGGGUUUAAAGGGAGCGUAGGCGGGUUGGUAAGUCAGUUGUGAAAGUUUGCGGCUCAACCGUAAUAGUGCAGUUGAUACUGGCAGCCUUGAGUACAGUAGAGGUAGGCGGAAGUCGUGGUGUAGCGGUGAAAUGCUUAGAUAUCACGAAGAACUCCGAUUGCGAAGGCAGCCUGCUGGACUGUAACUGACGCUGAUGCUCGAAAGUGUGGGUAGCAAACAGGAUUAGAUACCCCAGUAGUC
rnacentral:rRNA from 1 species